ensembl:lncRNA
CUUUAAAGAACCAGGUUAAGGGGAUCGGUCUACUGUACUAUUCCUUUAAAGAACCAGGUUAAGGGGAUCGGUCUACUGUACUGUUCCUUUGAAGAACCAGGUUAAGGGGAUCGGUGUACUGUACUAUUCCUUUAAAGAACGAGGUUAAGGGGAUCGGUGUACUGUACUAUUCCUUUAAAGAACCAGGUUAAGGGGAUCGGUCUACUGUACUAUUCCUGUAAAGAACCAGGUUAAGGGGAUCGGUGUAAUGUACUAUUCCUUUAAAGAACCAGGUUAAGGGGAUCGGUCUACUGUACUAUUCCUUUAAAGAACCAGGUUAAGGGGAUCGGUCUAC